GCACCUGCGACACGCCACUGUGGUCAAGCCAGCCUCCACUCGCAAAAUCGAAGUCAAAACAUCCUAAAAGAAGGAAUCCAGUACCCCGGCUCUCCACCCAGACCACCCUCGUCCGGAUCAGAUGUUGCAUUUUGAAAUGAAAGGCCUCUGAAAACUG